rnacentral:rRNA from 1 species
AAGUGGAGCAAUCCAUGAGUAAAGUGGCGACCGGGUGAGUAACACGUGACUACCUGCCCUUGAGUGGGGGAUAACCUCGGGAAACCGAGGCUAAUACCGCAUAAUAUCGCAAGAUCAAAGGAGCAAUCCGCUUUUGGAGGGGGUCGCGGCUGAUUAGCUAGUUGGUAAGGCAACGGCUUACCAAGGCGACGAUCGGUAUCCGGCCUGAGAGGGCGCACGGACACACUGGAACUGAAACACGGUCCAGACUCCUACGGGAGGCAGCAGUGGGGAAUUUUGCGCAAUGGGGGAAACCCUGACGCAGCAACGCCGCGUGGAGGAUGAAGCCCCUUGGG